GCUUGUCUCAAAGAUUAAGCCAUGCAUGUCUAAGUAUAAGCCUUUAUAUGGUGAGACUGCGAAUGGCUCAUUAAAUCAGAAACUGUUUAUUUGAUAGUGCCUACUACAUGGAUACCUGUAGUAAUUCUAGAGCUAAUACAUGCAAAAAGCCUGGACUUCUGGAACAGGCGUAUUUAUUAGAUACAACCAACCCCUCACGGGUUUCUGGUGAAUCAUAAUAACCGAACGAACCGUAUGCGCAAGCGACGGUGGUUCAUUCAAGUUUCUGCCCUAUCAGCUUUCGAUGGUAGGGUAUUGGCCUACCAUGGCGUUAACGGGUAACGGAGAAUUAGGGUUCGAUUCCGGAGAGGGAGCCUGAGAGAUGGCUACCACAUCCAAGGAAGGCAGCAGG
rnacentral:rRNA from 1 species